CAGAGUUAUCUAACUCCCAAACCCAUGUGAACUUACCAUUUGUUGCCUCGGCAGAGCCUACCCGGUAACUGUUCGGAGAAGCUACCCUGUAGCUACCCUGUAACGGCCUACCCUGUAACGUCCUGCCGGUGGACUUUUAAACCCUGAAUUAUUAGUGUCGUCUGAGUAAAAUAUUUAAUAUUUA
rnacentral:misc_RNA from 1 species